UACGAAGGGGGCUAGCGUUGCUCGGAAUCACUGGGCGUAAAGGGUGCGUAGGCGGGUCUUUAAGUCAGGGGUGAAAUCCUGGAGCUCAACUCCAGAACUGCCUUUGAUACUGAAGAUCUUGAGUCCGGGAGAGGUGAGUGGAACUGCGAGUGUAGAGGUGAAAUUCGUAGAUAUUCGGAAGAACACCAGUGGCGAAGGCGGCUCACUGGCCCGGUACUGACGCUGAUGUGCGAAAGCGUGGGGAACAAACAGG
rnacentral:rRNA from 1 species